UCACGGUUUUGGCAGAGUUAAUCCAUGCUUCUUUGGGCAUGCAUGAUGUGAAACGAGUGGUCGCAAAACCACCGGGCUUUCCCGUGUUAUUGUCAGCAGCUGGUUAUCCUUCCAUGUUGAAAGGUAAGUCCAGCUGCAUCAUAUUUAUUCACAAAAUUAAAUAGAUUCACUUGCAACGCGUCAUACCGAGGUUUGUGGUUUGAGUGAAUAAGUUCUUCCGCAAACAAACAAGCUGCAAGAAAAGGGGGCGUUUUGAGGUUUGAAAUUCACCACUCACAACCAUAAACACAACAAUGUGGUGACGUAAUGGAGGUGCAACCAAUAACGUUAGUGUAUUGCUUCAAGCUGCGAGAAAAAUACUUUAAAAUUACAGCAUUCUUUCCCGAAGAAAAGAGAACAGUUCGAGGGCCUAAGGACGGGAAUCCGAUUGAGGAACACCCCAGAAAUGGCUCGGCUACGAUGUUCCGAUAAAGAAGUCACGCCGGGUGUUGAAUAUUGUCAGAUUCAGAUGCAUCAAUGAGAGUCAGUAAUGCAGUGGAUAACUAUGAGGAUGAUCACAUCCACAUGCCCCACAGCUGUGAUGCAGAAUCACAAUGGGAGGAUCAAUCUGUCUUUGGCCACAACCUGAUCUUCUCAGAGAGACUCUCCAGCGUCUUGAUGCUCUUUAGCGAAAGUAUGAGCAGCACAGACUAACGUUACAUGAAGAAUCUUACAACGCUUCGAAAAGAAUAAAAAAGGCACAUGACGUGAACAUUGCGGAAUCUGUAAGGCGCCUCCAUAAUUCAGAGAACAACCCACACAAAUACGUUCCACAAACCAGAAUAAAUUCAUCACAUAAUUCUUCGAAGAGGUAAGUGGUCACAGCCAGGUUAAGGUCAACUUUUACAGACGUUGACCCUGAAUGUGUAAAAGCAGGUUGGAAGAUGUAUUUUGAGACUUUGCGGAGGAAGUAUUCUUUGGCUCAGCCUGAAAAGGCCCAGAAAAGAAAAACUAUGACGAGCAUUGCAAAGAACCUUCAAAGAAAGCGACUGUUGCUGGAGACCAGGUCCGGGGUUGUACAAACCAACACAGAAAAGGAACUUUGGAAGACCGCAACAAUAGAACUGAUGUCUGAUGAAGAUGAUGCUAUUGUUGAUGGAAGGCCAGUGUGAAUGGUGAGGUCUCCACCAAUCUGCUCUCUGCUAGGUACUAUAAAACAGACUAGAGGCUGACUCACACUAUGCGUCACACCACCAGCGUAUCAUGGCAGUUUGAAAAAUGUUAACUCGUAUAAAAAAA